rnacentral:rRNA from 1 species
CGGGACGGGUGAGUAAUGUCUGGGAAACUGCCUGAUGGAGGGGGGUAACUACUGGAAACGGUAGCUAAUACCGCAUAACGUCGCAAGACCAAAGAGGGGGACCUUCGGGCCUCUUGCCAUCGGAUGUGCCCAGAUGGGAUUAGCUAGUAGGUGGGGUAACGGCUCACCUAGGCGACGAUCCCUAGCUGGUCUGAGAGGAUGACAGCCACACUGGAACUGAGACACGGUCCAG